rnacentral:sRNA from 1 species
UACUCAUAGACAUCGGCUCCUCAAGGGUGGUCGGCUCAUCUCCCACGUCGGAAACGGGGGAGGUGAGAGCAUGGCAAUAACGCACGAAACCAUGAGCCUGAUGAUUCAGUUCGGCGGCUUUAUUGUCGGCCUGCUGAGUCUCGUCGUGGCGAUUGUUGCUUUGACGCAAAAAAAGAAGUGACCUCCCCUUGAGUUGAGAACCGGAGGUCACUUCGGUCAAAUUCUGAGCCGAUCCCGUAAAGGGAGCAGCUAUUGUACAAGGCUGCAGAUGUCGCCUCAUCUGUAG